CUUGUUGGAAUCAACCCAUGCUUGAAAAAUGAAACCAUUAAUGCAAAAUAUAGUUAACUGAACCGUAAGAACAAUAAUUAGUGGAUCACAUUUGCACUUAUGUUUUCUCUCAUCCCAAAAGAAGUGCGCUGCACACAACAAUUUGUUAUAGGCACAGUUUUCGUUCCAUGAUCAAAGCAUUGAACUGCACCAAAUAAAACUGUGUACUCAUGAGUAUAAAAAAUUAGAGAAAAAGACCAGCGCUUCAGCAACACACACGACCAUGAGUGCCGCACUGCAUGGGCCGCCCUACUGCACUGCAUGCACCCUGAAAGUUAAGUGCACUCCACAAUGCAUAACCUUUUUUAAAAUGCAAAAAAAUGAGCUUCUCCAAAACACACGCCCAUUCUGUACUUUUACAUAUGCACUUCACCGCAAAAAUGAACUCCAAAUUGUUUUCAGCCGCAAAGGUCUCCCAGCGGCCAGCUAGAGAACCUCCUGCCGACACCAAGUAAACUGCAUACCGCACCCAUCCACACGUCGGAUAGCCGAGCACCUACGAAGCCCAGUGGUGGUGGGAUUGAAAGAGGACGCCAUGGAACCGCACGCGGCCGCGUUGACUGCAGAAAUGAUGCCAUUGAGCUGCACGCGGCCGCAUUGCAGCACUGCAUCUUAAAAAAACCUCGUCAGUGGGAGCUCCAUCCAGGGGAGCCGGAGCUUAACACAUGUGGGGGCAAUGCGUACUGUAGGAUGGACUACAACAGUAGGAGAAUGCAAGACCACUGGGAGAACAACUUACAAAUGCGGGAGAGCGCGGCCAUAGGAGGGCUCGUGGCACGCUGUUCAUGGGAUCGGAC
rnacentral:lncRNA from 1 species